rnacentral:rRNA from 1 species
UCGCGGCCUAUCAGCUCGUUGGUGGUGUGAUGGCCUACCAAGGCGACGACGGGUAGCCGGCCUGAGAGGGUGUCCGGCCACACUGGGACUGAGAUACGGCCCAGACUCCUACGGGAGGCAGCAGUGGGGAAUAUUGCACAAUGGGCGCAAGCCUGAUGCAGCGACGCCGCGUGGGGGAUGACGGCCUUCGGGUUGUAAACCUCUUUCACCAUCGACGAAGGUCCGGGUUUUCUCGGAUUGACGGUAGGUGGAGAAGAAGCACCGGCCAACUACGUGCCAGCAGCCGCGGUAAUACGUAGGGUGCGAGCGUUGUCCGGAAUUACUGGGCGUAAAGAGCUCGUAGGUGGUUUGUCGCGUUGUUCGUGAAAUCUCACGGCUUAACUGUGAGCGUGCGGGCGAUACGGGCAGACUAGAGUACUGCAGGGGAGACUGGAAUUCCUGGUGUAGCGGUGGAAUGCGCAGAUAUCAGGAGGAACACCGGUGGCGAAGGCGGGUCUCUGGGCAGUAACUGACACUGAGGAGCGAAAGCGUGGGGAGCGAACAGGAUUAGAUACCCUGGUAGUCCACGCCGUAAACGGUGGGUACUAGGUGUGGGUUUCCUUCCUUGGGAUCCGUGCCGCAGCUAACGCAUUAAGUACCCCGCCUGGGGAGUACA